rnacentral:rRNA from 1 species
UACAGAGGUCUCAAGCGUUGUUCGGAUUCAUUGGGCGUAAAGGGUGCGUAGGCGGCGCGGUAAGUCGGGUGUGAAAUCUCGGAGCUUAACUCCGAAACUGCAUUCGAUACUGCCGGUGCUUGAGGACUGGAGAGGAGACUGGAAUUUACGGUGUAGCGGUGAAAUGCGUAGAUAUCGUAAGGAAGACCAGGUGGCGAAGGCGGGUCUCUGGACAGUUCCUGACGCUGAGGCACGAAGGUCAGGGGAGCAAACGGG